AAGUAUCAGCGAAUGGAUAUAAAAUCAAACAGAAUUUAUACGCAACGGUUUAGUUGAAAAGCGUCAAUAUAAUGAUAUCGUAAUAAACCUGUAUGUUUCUCUUAAGGAACGCGAAAAUUGUCAAGGCGAAAAGGGAAUGAAAUUUUAAUUCAAAUUUAAAAAAUUUAUGUUUUGUUACUGGAUUGUGAAAUUUAAGAAUAGUUUGACGUGACGGUAAUGUGUACAUAAAGAAUUCAAAACAUCAUUCACGUAACCUCACGUAUACACACAAUCGAGUCGUUUUUGAAAUUCUCAACCAGCACUUAAUUGUAAUUGAAAGUGACAACAAUUCCACAAACUCUAGUAGGCUGUGGACGCGCAAAGACAAGUAAAAAAUUCUGAAAGCAUAUCAUUUCGACUUUUGUGUGUAAAGAAUUCAGAUUGAAAAAAAAUUUUUUCCUUUAAGUGCCAAAAAAUAUUGAAAUUAAAAAAAAAAAAUUCA